rnacentral:rRNA from 1 species
GAUUAACGCUAGCGGCAGGCCUAAUACAUGCAAGUCGAACGGGAUUGGAUAGCAAUAUCCAUGAGAGUGGCGCACGGGUGAGUAACGCGUAUGCAACCUACCUCUAACUGGGGAAUAGCUCCGAGAAAUCGGAAUUAAUACCGCAUAAAAUCACUGAAAGGCAUCUUUCGGUUAUUAAAACUCCGGUGGUUAGAGAUGGGCAUGCGUGACAUUAGCUUGNGGUGAGGUAACGGCUCACCAAGGCGACGAUGUCUA